rnacentral:tRNA from 1 species
GGAGAAGUACUCAAGUGGCCGAAGAGGCGCCCCUGCUAAGGGCGUAGGGUGGGAUAACUGCCGCGAGGGUUCAAAUCCCUCCUUCUCCGCCA